AAUAGUCAUGGCUAUAUUUCAAUAAAACUUUAUUUACCACAGCGGGCAGCUAGUCAGGCAUGAACUGGGCAGUGAUCUGCUGUUCUGAACUGCAGCUCUCUGCACCAGCGCAAUAUGAACCCAGGGGGGUAAAAUGCUGCCGAUGCCAUCCAUGUACAGUCCCUGCGGGCUGCCCCCAAGGAGCCUGUGAGCAGGAGGACGUCACAAAAGGAGAGGAUACAAUGUUGCAGUUGGGGAUGUGGAGCAUGAGCACAGCACUCUUCUGAAGUCCCUCCCUUCCUGCCCUCUCAUUCUCUGGGGAUGAAGCACACUUGUUGGAUGGAUAAGAGGAAGACGGAGGAAUGGAGGAAUAACAACAUGUCGUCAACUCCUUGCAAGACUCUGGCAGUCAAGAUGGAAUUCCACAAGCUGGACCUAGCCUAGGUUAUUGGAAGCGUUUUCUGGCAGGAGUGGACUGUGGAGCUUUACUGAGCCAGCAUUACAAGGGUAGCAGCAGACCUGGGCAGGUGGUAAAGAAUCAACUGUUUUCCAUGGAGGCUGACAUUGGAGGAGCUAGUGGUCCGUUCUACACUCCCAACAAGUUCAAUAUGAUAUCCUGGGAUUUCUGCAAAGACAUAUCUGUGCCACGCUGUUCUAGGGUGGCUCAUGCUAUUUGCCCAGUUUUUGACAAUGCAGUUGGAAGUCAGGGCAAUGACAGAGAUGGGUGAAGGGGAUAACGUAAAGAGUGGAAGGGGGAUGUGAUGUGUCUCUGCCACACACACCCUCCCCACUUUGGUUUUAUUUUUGAGGUGGAGUCUUAUUUAUUUUUGAGACUCUGAGGAGGUAUUGAAUUUGACAUCAAGGUGGUGGGCGGGGAGAGGGAGAGAGAGAAAGUAAGACUGAGAUAUAAAGUAAGAAAUUCAGCUUCCAGCAAAACACAAAAAAAGCCCACCACUUUUGGCUGUGCAGAGCCCGUUCAUUCAGGAGCGUGCUUGAAACCAGGUGUCUUUUCUGUUUUUCUUCACCAAGUGCUGCCCUUUUGAGGCCCUCAGCCCUGAUGCCGCCUCCGUCUUCUGCUUUGCUGUCCCUCCAAGCCUUGUUUGCUACUUGUAACUGACGCAGUGUCCGUGCGUUAUUGGUCAGAGAUGGCUCUGGAUGCGUGAAAUUCUGAAAGAACAUAAUGCUCAUGCUCAGAGCCCUGCCCUGGUGGAAGUGUAACCCGCUAGUAUCAGAUCUCACCGUGGGAGGCAAACCGGAAGCUGAGCCGUUGACUCAGAUCCUGAGGCCUCUGAAGAAUGGGCACAAAGAGCCGCCAUAUUGCAAGCAGCACCCUGAGCUAUUCAGGGCCCAGCGUGGAAGCCAUCACAUUGCCAUACCAGUAUGUUUUCAACCUUUGACAAAAGGUGCUAUUUUAGUCCCAGAACUUGGGAGGCAGAGGCAGGUGGAUCUCUGAGCUCAAGGCCAGCCUGGUCUACAGAGUAGUUCCAGGGACA